rnacentral:rRNA from 1 species
AGCGAACGCUGGCGGCAGGCCUAACACAUGCAAGUCGAACGAACCUUUCGGGGUUAGUGGCGGACGGGUGAGUAACACGUGGGAACGUGCCUUUAGGUUCGGAAUAACUCAGGGAAACUUGUGCUAAUACCGAAUGUGCCCUUCGGGGGAAAGAUUUAUCGCCUUUAGAGCGGCCCGCGUCUGAUUAGCUAGUUGGUUGAGGUAAUGGCUCACCAAGGCGACGAUCCGUAGCUGGUCUGAGAGGAUGAUCAGCCACAUUGGGACUGAGACACGGCCCAAACUCCUACGGGAGGGAGCAGUGGGGAAUCUUGCGCAAUGGGCGAAAGCCUGACGCAGCCAUGCCGGGUGAAUGAUGAAGGUCUUAGGAUUGUAAAAUUCUUUCACCGGGGACGAUAAUGACGGUACCCGGAGAAGAAGCCCCGGCUAACUUCGUG